rnacentral:rRNA from 1 species
AAUUUUGGACAAUGGGGGAAACCCUGAUCCAGCCAUCCCGCGUGUAUGAUGAAGGNCUNNGUGUUNUNAAGUACUUUUGGCAGNNNNNAAAAGGUAUCUNCUAAUACGAGAUACUGCUGACGGUAUCUGCAGAUUAACCACCGGAUACCUACGUCCCAGCAGCCGCGGUAAUACGUAGGGUGCAAGCGUUAAUCGGUAUUACUGGUCGUAAAGCGUGUGUAGGCGGUUCGGAAAGAAAGAGGUGAAAUCCCAGGGCUCAACCUUGGAACUGCAUUUUUAACUGCCGAGCUAGAGUAUGUCAGAGGGGGGUAGAAUUCCACGUGUAGCAGGGAAAUGCGUAGAUAUGUGGAGGAAUACCGAUGGCGAAGGCAGCCCCCUGGGAUAAUACUGACGCUCAGACACGAAAGCGUGGGGAGCAAACA